AUGGCUCAGAAUCAACGCUGGCGGCGUGCCUAACACAUGCAAGUCGAACGAGAAAGUCCGCAAGGAUGAGUACAGUGGCGCACGGGUGAGUAACACGUGGAUAACCUGCCCUGGAGUGGGGGAUAACAUCCCGAAAGGGGUGCUAAUACCGCAUAACACCCUAGUUGGAAGACAGGGGUUAAAAGGAGCGAUUCGCUCCGGGAGGGGUCCGCGCCUGAUUAGCAGUUGGUGAGGUAAGAGCUCACCAAGGCUUCGAUCAGUAGCCGUCCUGAGAGGGAGCACGGCCACACUGGAACUGAGACACGGUCCAGACUCCUACGGGAGGCAGCAGUGGGGAAUUUUUGGCAAUGGGGGGAAAAACCCCCUGACCAAGCAACGCCGCGUGGGUGAUGAAGUAUCUUGGUACGUAAAACCCUUUCGGCAGGGACGAAUCCAAUUGACGGUACCUGCGGAAGAAGCUCCGGCCAACUCCGUGCCAGCCGCCGC
rnacentral:rRNA from 1 species